CUCAUAUUACUCAGGGUUUUCAGAGCAAAGCCCUAGGGAAUGUCUGUCUUCCUAGACUUGGCAAACCUACCAGCCUUCCUAGACUUCUCUACACAUGGUCACCAAGAUCCAGACAUUCUGAGGUUCUAAGAGCUCCUUUCAGCAACUUUACUGUGCAAAUUGAGUUUAAUUCGUUGAGUUUAGUUCAGAAGGAGCUAAGAGAGGAAGAUCAAGAUCCAUGAAUCUAGUAUUCGUGAGCAGGCAUGUCACGCCCUGGGAAGAGUUUACACCUUGGACAUGGCUACCUUUACCACCACCACCUCUGGACCCAUGAAAUUGGUGCUUCUUCUAAACUUUCCAGGCUUUCAACUCUUGUUUAUUCCCAGUUUUCCCGAGGAUGACUCUGGCUGCCCUGACAGCCCCACCACAGGGGACAGCAGCAUUUAUUUGACUUGACUAGGAUUGGAACUUCCAGUGAUCUACAAUCUCCAUAUGAUCUCUGUUUCUACAAGGAAGCACCUUCUCCAUGAAUAUUAUGCACUUAGUUAAACUGAGCCAUGGAAAGCCAAUCAUUCAUUCAACAAAUAUGUACAGAGUGUCAAUAAUGUACCAGGCAAGAAACAAGGAGCUGCGCUCUUUCUUCAAGGAAUCCAUAGUUCUAUCAGUAGAAGGAAUAAAAUAUUCUAAGUGUCUUUGUAGUAGAUUGAAUUAUCAUUUCACAAAUAUUCCCUCUCCCGUCUCACUCUCCUCUUCCCUGCCCCAUUGAUUUAGGACCUGACUAUGUAAAAUACUUUGGCCCAUAAAAUGUGGGCAGAAAUGAUAACAUGCCAGUUUCAAGUGAAGC
rnacentral:lncRNA from 1 species